rnacentral:misc_RNA from 1 species
GCAUGUCUCCCGAAAGCGGAAACCGCCACUCGGGAAAAUCAGUCCACGGGACUGAUUUCUGGUCCCGCUAGGACGGGAUAAAGACAUGCGUAAAAACAAAUAGUUAGAGCGAUUGCCAAGACUCCGUUUCAACUGAAACCGCUCUAAAACGGAU